GUGAGGAAUAUUGGACAAUGGAUGGAAAUCUGAUCCAGCCAUGCCGCGUGCAGGAAGACGGCCCUAUGGGUUGUAAACUGCUUUUGUAUGGGAGCAAUAAGGGUUACGAGUAGCCUGAUGAGAGUACCAUACGAAUAAGGACCGGCUAACUCCGUGCCAGCAGCCGCGGUAAUACGGAGGGUCCGAGCGUUAUCCGGAUUUAUUGGGUUUAAAGGGUGCGUAGGCGGUUUUAUAAGUCAGCGGUGAAAUUUUCCGGCUCAACCGGGGGACUGCCGUUGAUACUGUAAGGCUAGGAUAUGGUUGCUGUGGGUGGAAUGUGUGGUGUAGCGGUGAAAUGCUUAGAGAUCACACAGAAUAUCGAUUGCGAAGGCAGCUCACAAAGCCAUCAUUGACGCUGAGGCACGAAAGUGUGGGGAUCAAACAGGAUUAGAAACCCGUGUAGUCC
rnacentral:rRNA from 1 species